rnacentral:rRNA from 1 species
CGGCCGCGGCACUAAAACCGUGCAAAGGUAGCACAAUCACUUGUCCCUUAAAUGAGGACCCGUAUGAAAGGCAACAUGAGAGAAAACCUGUCUCCCAAGGCCAGCCAAUGAAAUUGAACUACCAGUACAAAAGCUGAUAUCUACAAGCAAGACAAAAAGACCCUGUGGAACUUUAACAAGUUGCUUACACAAAAUAAACAAUAGUUUCAGUUGGGACAACUUUAGAAAAAAUUAACCUCUAAAAUAAAACAGACCAACAAGUCAAAACUCCAUCUAUGACCCAGUCUUACUGAUUAACGAAACAAGCUACCCCAGGGAUAACAGCGCCACCUUCUCAAAGAGUCCAUAUCAACAAGAAGAUCUACGACCUCGAUGUUGGAUCCGGGUACCCAGACGGUGCAGCAGCUGUCAAAGGUUCGUUUGUUCAACGAUUAACACCC